rnacentral:rRNA from 1 species
GACGAACGCUGGCGGCUUGCUUAACACAUGCAAUUCGAACGGAAAGGCCCUGCUUUUGUGGGUUGCUCGAGUGGCGAACGGGUGAGUAACACGUGAGUAACCUGCCCUUGACUUUGGGAUAACUUCAGGAAACUGGGGCUAAUACCGGAUAGGAGCUCCUGCUGCAUGGUGGGGGUUGGAAAGUUUCGGCGGUUGGGGAUGGACUCGCGGCUUAUCAGCUUGUUGGUGGGGUAGUGGCUUACCAAGGCUUUGACGGGUAGCCGGCCUGAGAGGGUGACCGGCCACAUUGGGACUGAGAUACGGCCCAGACUCCUACGGGAGGCAGCAGUGGGGAAUAUUGCACAAUGGGCGGAAGCCUGAUGCAGCAACGCCGCGUGCGGGAUGACGGCCUUCGGGUUGUAAACCGCUUUCGCCUGUGACGAAGCGUGAGUGACGGUAAUGGGUAAAGAAGCACCGGCUAACUACGUG